AAUCAACGCUGGCGGCGUGCCUAACACAUGCAAGUCGAACGCGAAAGUCCCGCAAGGGAUUAGUAGAGUGGCAAACGGGUGAGUAACACGUGGGUGACCUGCCUUCGAGUGGGGGAUAACGUCCCGAAAGGGACGCUAAUACCGCAUAACAUCCUGCCUUUGAAGAGGUGGAGAUCAAAGCUGGGGGACCGCAAGGCCUGGCGCUGGAAGAGGGGCCCGCGUCUGAUUAGCUAGUUGGGAGGUAACGGCUCACCAAGGCAACGAUCAGUAUCCGCCUGAGAGGGCGGACGGACACACUGGGACUGAGACACGGCCCAGACUCCUACGGGAGGCAGCAGUGGGGAAUUGUUCGCAAUGGGCGCAAGCCUGACGACGCAACGCCGCGUGGAGGAUGAAGACCUGGU
rnacentral:rRNA from 1 species